GGUCUUUGCAGUGGCUGGAGAAGCAGGAAUUGAUUUAAAGGCAGUCAAUUCAUGGUUGCCAGAGAGACAUCUUUACAGGUUGAGGCCCUGCUGGUAGGGCCAAAUGCAGGAUGAGGAGCUUCUCCAUGUAUAAUUCACUGGAAUAUGUGAUAUCGACUGCUCUUCUGUAAGCCUGUCAUUUUCCAUCCUGAAGUUUUUUUUGUGUUUUGGUAGAACAAUGUGCGUUCUGUUCACCAUCACCUGACUAAGCUUUAUACAACUUCUAUGAAUCUACUAUUGUAACUUUAAAUAUGGUUCAAGGGUGCUCUGCCUUGUCAGGGUGACUUAGGUGCUCAUCUGGGCUAUAAAACCCUCACUAAGAGCAGUGCUCGGCACAAGGCAGUCUGACGCCUGGUGAAUGAUCCAUUACUUAAAAGCUCAUCAAAGUUGCAGCACUUCUGAGGGGCAGGAAGCCCCA
rnacentral:lncRNA from 1 species